ACCGCGAACAAACAACAAGUUUCCAUUGCCUAAGUCAAUUGUAAUUCAGUGCGUCAAGGAUUAAAAAUGUGCAUAAGAACACCGUGUGUGUACUCACUAACCCUUUCAUAUUAGAGUUGUACGCCCUCCUGCCAAACAUACAUAUUCCUUGUGUACAAUGUGUCUCUUAGUGGGUACAACAACGUUUUAUUUUACAGAUGUGUUAUAACUCCGAUCUCAAACUAAAUCGACGUUCUCCCACGUAACUGUACAGGUCUACAUACGGAUAACUUGGAACUGUAUGUGUAACGUGUCACUCAUUCUCUUCCAUGGAUAAAACUGUCUGCUGGUGGAAGAAAGAGAACCAAUAAGUAAAGAGUAGCAGUGUGUACCACUUCAGACAUUCUUCAGGAACUAACAGCUGAUGCAAAACAAUAAGAGUUCUUUGCAACAGACAUGAAUCAGCACAUUUCUAACCAAAUAAAAUGACAUUUAAGGCGUGACUGAAGAUUUACAUACCUGGUUUAAAUUAAUUAUUGUACAUCUUCCUGUAAUCUGGUAGUAGGAUUAUCAAACUUCUCUCAUGCUAAUAGGAUAUGUUCUAGCAAGAUAAGAACAAUAGUGCUAAGAACCUGCAUUACUAAUUCAUAGCUGACAGCAUUAGUGCCACUUGAAGCCUGUUUUUGUGCAUUAUGAAAAGGAAUUUGUGUGGUUCAGUAACACAGUAUUGUUUGGGCUGUUUCUGGUAGCAUUAUUAACAGAAAUUACAAACGGUUUGAUACCACCAACUACCAAUAGAA